rnacentral:rRNA from 1 species
GACAGAGGGUGCAAACGUUAUUCGGAAUUACUGGGCGUAAAGCGCGUGUAGGCGGCCAUGCAAGUCGGAUGUGAAAGCCCUCGGCUCAACCGGGGAAGUGCACUCGAAACUGCAAGGCUAGAGUCUCGGAGAGGAUCGUGGAAUUCUCGGUGUAGAGGUGAAAUUCGUAGAUAUCGAGAGGAACACCGGUGGCGAAGGCGGCGAUCUGGACGAUGGACUGACGCUGAGACGCGAAAGCGUGGGGAGCAAACAGG